GACAGACACGUGUGAUAAUUAUGAAUGUUUUAUUGGGGCAAUACAGACUGCAAACAAGAAUACUGGACAUAUUGUGUUGUAGAGGGAGGGGGGGAUGUACUGUAAUGGCCAGUCUUUGGUCUGUGUCUGCCGCUGUUUUGUUUGUGAUCGGUGGCCAGGAUGGACGAUCGCCGCCCACGGGGUGGAUGACAUACAGGUGUAGGCCCUCGGAAGAGUGGAUGGCUGCGAUGCAGAUUGGUGGAGCUCGUAAUGGACUGGGAAAUAAAAGGGCUCACCAGUAUGUGAUUCGGGAGUCUGGGGAAGAGGGAGCGACAAGCGAGGCACGGACGACGGACGACUGAUCCAGCCAUUAAGACGGUGCCGCUGUUCCUGCGCGGCCCUGCAAUCCAUGUCAUCGAUGAAGCUUGCCGGCCGCGUCUAGCAGAGGGAAGAGGCUACGAGAGAGGACUGGAGAUCGUAUGAUCGUUAAGACUAUUCUGCGCUCUCAAACCGAUCUAAAGGAACGGUGAUCCCAUUGUCAGCAGCAGUGAGUCGAGUGGCGCAGUGCUUCCGGGUUCUCAGGACGGUGACGUCAUCACGCCAAGAAAGCGGCGGCGUGCCCACGCCAACCCCAUCCCCUGUGAAGGCAAAAUAAGAGUCCACUGGCUGUGCUUCAAGCUAAAGGUCCUGUGCUAGUGGAUAAAAGACUGUAAUUUUCCCCGGCCUACUUGGUGCACAGUGGCCGGGUGAGACUCAGUUUAUUUUGAUUUUGUGUUUUUUUGUUUCGGUCAGGAGGGGCCCUGACCGAACGGACAUUUUUACUUGUUUGUUUGUGUGUUAUGUUUCUGCCUGCAUGAAUGGGUUCUGGCUUGGGGGGAGGUUGGGAGGCUAAGUUGCUGGUAAUGGUCUGGGGAUCCGUAGUGUGCACGUGUGCAAAUGGUUGUGUGCCGUGAACAAGAUUUGCUGUGGUACUCUGCUUGAUGUCUUGAUGUGACUAGGGUUCUGAAACCCAUGGUAGCUGAUGGUGUGGUUCUACUCACUUGUUUCUAAGAUCCUAGCUGUGCUGUGUGACCAAUGCUGACCUAUUAACCCUUGCCCGAAACCUGUGUGGGUGGAAUGCUUUUGACCUGUAUGUAAUAAAGAUUUGUACAUUUUCUUAAA